GUUAGUUUUGUCUUAUUUAAAGUGAUCUAAGAUGUUUGUUUAGAAACUAGACCAAUAUUACUUGGUAAGGUUUUGUGAUUUUGAAGUGUGGGUAAAAGUAAACCUCUGUUCAUGCUCUAUAGAUUAUAAAACCUUCACAAGGACUUUCCCACUCGUAAAUCACACCACUGAUUUAGGUUUUCAGAUGGAACUCUUAUAUUUUCACUAUCUUUAUCCUUGGAUUACAUUGAGGCUACUCAGUUUCUCCCCCCGCCCCUUCCCUUCCACCAACUAAUUUUCUCUAAACCUUUCAGUAAACACAUUUUAGACCAGUCGUCUUAUUUACAAGCACAUGUCUGAAAAUUAUCUUUCCAGCAUAUCUAUGGUUUUCUUUGCAUUUCAAGUAAACAAACAAAAAAAUAAUAAUCAAAGCUUCAAGUUGUCCUCACUGGUCCAAUAAUUCACAUUCAGUGGUUUACAAGAAAUACUAUAAUAAUAAUAAAGUAAUUGAUAUAUGCUUCUGUGCAACAAAGUCUUUAAUGCUGUGGCAAAGAUGGCGCCUCGCACCACAAAUAAAUGAUGUAAUUUAAAAAGCCUGGUGAAAAUAUCGUAUGUCUGGAGAAAACACUGAAACACAAACUUUAUGAUGCUCAUGUUCUGUGGCAUCCGUAAUACGCCGUCGUUGUUCUGAGUAUAAAAAUAAUGAAACGGAUUCAUAAACCACAAAGCUGAGUGGCUUUGUUCAGUGUCAGUCAUGCUAGCUCUAGCUAAGCUAAUGAACGUGAAUCUCAGCAGCCCAUCCAAAUUCAGUGUGAGAUGCUUCGCUGCAUGCCGUUGAUGCCUACGUUUUCUUUGAUCUGUCCUUUUCUUUUUUCUUUUUCUCUCUUUUUUUUUUACUGUUUUCUAUCAUCAGCAUGUGUGACUAAAACAAUCUGGUUCAUCUCUGUUGCUUGUUUACAUGUAGACGAUUUCUGCCGUGUCAUCCGGUCUUGUCACUCCGACGCGCUCCUGUUCACUCUGCACAUUGCGACACGUUGCUGAGUGUGAAAACCUACUGUGAUUUAAACGUAUGGUGUGGAGCAGUUUGGAAAUGGAUGGUGAAUUGAAAGUACAUCCCUGCUCCCCCCGACUUCCAUAUAAUCCACAUAAUCACAGAGCUGCUGCUGUUUGCCUCUGAUAGGACUGAAUUAUCACCAGAUCCAGGAACGUCACAUGGUCUUCACCUUUAAUUCCAUUCUCCAUCUCUUGUGGUCGAGCGUGGAAGUCGAAGGGAAGGCGCUCUGUUUGGAAGUAGACAAAUUCCCUGUUAAUGUAAAACGAGUCCUGUGACGAUUAUUGAGAACAUAAUAAAAUGAUGCACUAUAAGA